GGUCGUUUGUCUGUUGUUCUUCUACUGCUAGCAAACGGUGACCCAUCGAUAUCUUUGGCACAUGCUCUGGUGAUGUACUAAUAGUAACCCUGUGUGCCCUGGAGUCGGGCUACUGACGAUACAUGCUGGCUAAUACCGUGUCGCUAGAAGCUGUUCAGAGCCGAAGCCGCUUGCAAAACCAAUUUGCAUUUGCAUGUAAGCAGUAGCACUGUUACCGGCCUCGGGUCUGGAUGCUUGGCUGCCACGUAACGUAAUCCAUGGGUUUGCGGAGCUCUUUUGUGCAUCCGAUAUGAGAGUUGCUUGACAAUGGUGCGUGGACGGAAUACCGUAACAUCAGGGGGCUCCUCUGAAUUUGUCAGUUCAAUGUUGCCACCAUACCAUAGCUCGAUGAUGGGGAGGGCAUUGUUGUCGCUGAUAGUACUGACAACUGUAAUCUGGACGCAAGCCGCCGAUGAGGUUGUUGUAAAGCAAAUGGAGCCAAAACAAAAGGAACUGAAAUGCUACAAGUGCCUUGAUUACGAACCCCACUGCCAGUCGCUGGCCAACAUAAGCGUCGUGGGUGUGGCCACAUGUGGACCUGACGAGACUUUCUGCCAGGUUCAGAGACAGCAUCUAAAUGAUGGCCUGAUCACAUUUGAGCGCCGUUGUGCGAGCUCUUGUAAACCGGGUUGUGAAAAUGCUGGCGACUACAAACGCUGCUCAUCGUGCUGUACAAACCAGCUGUGUAACACAGACAAUUCGGCACCGGGAAUCAUCAGGGACCAGCUGAUUAUUACCACCGUCACUUUCAGUUUUCUUGUUUACCUGAGCGUCCUCUGAAUGGAGUGAUACAAGUGUGCUGUGAUUGUGGAUUCCAGUGGGAUAAUUUCUGUACAAAGAGCUGAAGGAUCACAUAGAUUCUAUAUGUACAUCAUAUAUCUUGCCCUGGCUAUGUAUUCGGGUGGAAGUGUUGCUUGAGUAGACCUAGGAUACAUACAUGUGUAUACUAUACCUUCAGUAUCAAUGGCACGAUGGACGUCCGUAUUUCACAACGUGUAGUCGCUUAAUUUGUGUAUUAGCAUUUGCAUUAAGUAUUGAUCUUUGAAGUUAUCGCAAAAACAAGAGUGAACGGCAAUUGAGUUUCUGUAUAAAACAGUCGUGUUGUUUUGACCCAAAAUAUGUAAUUUAACUAACAGUGAAAUAAAGAGAUUGGCGUUCGGUGAUUAUAUUGAAGAUGUAUUAUAUAACGUUAGGGUAUAUGUGACAUUGGAGUAUGUCGUAAGUAUGUUCCAAUCUUUAAACAAGGUAAGUAACAAAGUAAGAAAUUUGGAGUAAUGUAUACAGAGAGCAGUCAAAACUUCGAAGUGAUGCCCGAAAGACGCCAGGAAUAUCCUAGACGCGUAAAUUUAAUCAGUGUUCAAAUAAUGAAGUAUGCUAGUUUACAUCAAAAACACGAUUCCUUUAUCAGAAAUGCUUCCAUCAAACGCUUUCAAUCUAAGGUUCUUGAAUGGACAAGUUGUCCAGGAGCGCUUUCGUCCUGCUUCAUAAUUGUGGUUGUGAGGUUGUAAAUGCACCAUGUUGUAUAAAAUCGCCAUGCCGGAUACACUAACAGUGAGGUAAUGGCCGAAAGUGUCUGAAAAUGUAUUUAUUUUGUGAAUUUGUGCCGUUGUCAUGGAUCGUUUUUGGUCCGGUGAGACUCACAACAAGUUAGUUGAUUAUGGGGACCACUCAGUUAACAUCCAUUUACGCUUGGGAAGACUUAAUGCGCUUGUGAAGAUGCGGUAAAUGUGGCUUACCGUCGAUCCGGCUCGUUAGAAGCAGUUAUUCUUCGUAAUUCGACCAACACUUUGUGUCGGUCGAUUUCAGAGUUACAUUUCGCAACUACAGCUGAAUUACCCCAACUUUCGGACAGCAAACUGAAUCCAUGCUCAUUGCACAGGCUUCAACAAAAGUUGACACCACAAACAAUUCAUUACCUAUUUCUGGAGCCUCCGUGGCCGAGUGGUUAGUGUGCUAGCGUAGUAUAGUGAUUAAUUCAUUCGCCUAGAAUUUCUUUCCACCAUCACUGAAAACUGUUGACUGCUUUUCUUUGCAUGAUUCCGUCCUAAUUUCGUACUUAAUAUACUAUCUUAGUUCUUCGGUGGUUUGUGUUAAAUGUGGUUUUUUGGAGACUGACCUUGCCAUUAUUGAUCCAGAACGUUGAUCCUUUUUUGUUGGAGGCCUGUAGACCUGGACCUGUAUGAAUGUCUGUUGCGACGCAUAGAUUCAGCUCCCUCUCAAAUCAUACAUGGGAAAGUUUGUCACCAACCUGCUGAUGGUGAUGGGUUUCCUCUAAGCUUUGUUUGGUUUCCUCCAACCCUGACGCUGUAGUGUGAUUGAAAUGUGUGAUCAAUCUGGUAUAGAUUACUGCUUGAGCUUGUACAAACGUUUCCCUGCACAAGUUCCACAUAAGAUUGCAAGUCACAGACAUUUAUACAAGAUUUCUCAAGCGGUAGACAACAGUGUCGUUCAGUGACCAAAAAGUAGCAAGUAACCUGGAAAUUUUUCAAGGAUUGUACGAGUCUAAAAAUUGAAUUAUAUGUCAGAAAACUGAUGACUGCUUCUUAUUUACAUGUUAAUUAUUUACUAAUUAUGCAUUAUUUCUUACAUAUUCCGUUGAGAACUGGUGUUUACCUCGUUUUGGAAAUGGGUUUUGCGAAUGUGGACUUUGAACACCCCUUCAUGCUACACGAGUGUGCGGCAUUCGACGUUUUGAUGAUCAACACUGUUUUCUUGACUCAAGAAAUUUGAACAAAUA